rnacentral:rRNA from 1 species
GCGCACCAGUCGAGAAUCUUCCACAAUGGGGGAAACCCUGAUGGAGCGACGCCGCGUGCGGGAUGAAGGCCCUAUGGGUUGUAAACCGCUGUUCAGUGGAAGAACAUCCUCCGGCUGAAUAGGUCGGAGGCCUGACGUUACCACUGCAGAAAGUCCCGGCCAACUCCGUGCCAGCAGCCGCGGUAAGUACGGGGGGACGAGCGUUGUCCGGAAUCAUUGGGCGUAAAGGGCGCGUAGGCGGCGAGGAAGUCGAAUGUGAAAUCUUGCGGCUCAACUGCAAAACUGCGUUCGAAACUUCCUCGCUUGAGUAUG